AAUUGUUAUAUUAUAGAUGUAGUUGAAAAUCAACUACUAGUCUUUUAUAUUCAUGAACAUAUUACUCUUAGGCGACACAAAUGUGUCGUCUUUUUUCAA
rnacentral:sRNA from 1 species